rnacentral:rRNA from 1 species
GAUGAACGCUGGCGGCGUGCCUAACACAUGCAAGUCGAGCGAUUCUCUUCGGAGAAGAGCGGCGGACGGGUGAGUAACGCGUGGGUAACCUGCCCUGUACACACGGAUAACAUACCGAAAGGUAUGCUAAUACGGGAUAACAUGAGAGAGUCGCAUGGCUUUUUUAUCAAAGCUCCGGCGGUACAGGAUGGACCCGCGUCUGAUUAGCUAGUUGGUGAGGUAAUGGCUCACCAAGGCGACGAUCAGUAGCCGACCUGAGAGGGUGAUCGGCCACAGUGGAACUGAGACACGGUCCAGACUCCUACGGGAGGCAGCAGUGGGGAAUAUUGCACAAUGGGCGAAAGCCUGAUGCAGCAACGCCGCGUGAGCGAUGAAGGUCUUCGGAUCGUAAAGCUCUGUCCUCAAGGAAGAUAAUGACGGUACUUGAGGAGGAAGCCCCGGCUAACUACGUGCCAGCCGCCGCAGUAA